UACAUGCGGAACGCCCAUUUCAGUUUUUCUUCCGGCGUGCCGCUGGACGUUACGUCAAUCGCCAAUAGGAAUUCCUGCAACAAAAGCCGAUGGUAUCCUGUAUCAGUAACGUUGUCACAGCUGCGCGAUAUCAAAACUUUUAUUUCUUCGCUACAAAAGAAUCUCCCUUUUGUGUGAAACGAAAAUCUAUUUCCCAAAAUGUAGCUAUGAUACGCAUUGAAGGGAGAACCGACUUCAAGAUGCCAUAAUUCAAGCAGCUUUGCCAAAGCUAUGGAAAAUAUUUAUCCACUUGAAAUACAACGAUUCGAGAAGAAAUCAGCUAAGCUCGUCUUAACAUCAAAGAUGCAGCUUACCCGCGAAGCUCGCGAAAGAACCCGUGGAAAAGCCCUGACAUUACCGGAGAAACGACGACCGAUACCAGGGAAAGAAAACAUCUUUGUGAUGCCAUUAACUGUGGCCUUACAGACACCACGCUCGUGAGAAUGGACGCGAGGCGAAUAUAUGAGAUUGGAGCGAAGUGGUUUUCCCGAGGCAGAGCGUGACGUGGAUAUGGAAAAAGUUACAGUACUUUGAAAAUCCCCACAUCGUUUACGUUAAGCUAAGAAAGUGAAGGCACAGGAAAGAACGUGGGUUCUCACAAUUUUUGGCAUUAAUUUGAUUUGUAUG